rnacentral:rRNA from 1 species
GACGAACGCUGGCGGCAGGCUUAACACAUGCAAGUCGAACGGCUGUAGCAAUACAGCAGUGGCAGACGGGUGAGUAACACGUGGGAACCUUCCUAGGGGUACGGAACAACUCAGGGAAACUUGAGCUAAUAACCGUAUACGUCCGUAAGGAGAAAGAUUCAUCGCCCCUAGACGGGCCCGCGUCGGAUUAGGUAGUUGGUGGGGUAACGGGCCUACCAAGCCUGCGAUCCGUAGCUGAUCUGAGAGGAUGAUCAGCCACACUGGGACUGAGACACGGCCCAGACUCCUACGGGAGGCAGCAGUGGGGAAUAUUGGACAAUGGGCGGCAAGCCUGAUCCAGCAAUGCCGCGUGAGUGAAGAAGGCCUUAGGGUUGUAAAGCUCUUUCGGCGGGGACGAUGAUGACGGUACCCGCAGAAGAA